rnacentral:rRNA from 1 species
GACGAACGCUGGCGGCGUGCUUAACACAUGCAAGUCGAACGGUGAAGCGCCUUCCUUUUUGGUGGGUGUGGAUGAGUGGCGAACGGGUGAGUAACACGUGAGUAACCUGCCCCCUUCUUCUGGAUAACCGCAUGAAAGUGUGGCUAAUACGGGAUAUUCUGGGUCUGUCGCAUGAUGGGUCUGGGAAAGAUAUUGUUUCGGUGGGGGAUGGGCUCGCGGCCUAUCAGCUUGUUGGUGGGGUGAUGGCCUACCAAGGCGGUGACGGGUAGCCGGCCCGAGAGGGUGGACGGUCACACUGGGACUGAGACACGGCCCAGACUCCUACGGGAGGCAGCAGUGGGGAAUAUUGCACAAUGGGCGCAAGCCUGAUGCAGCGACGCCGCGUGAGGGAUGGAGGCCUUCGGGUUGUGAACCUCUUUCGCCAGUGAAGCAGGCCUGCCUCGUUUGUGGGUGGGUUGACGGUAGCUGGAUAAGAAGCGCCGGCUAACUACGUG